AAUUUUAUGUAAAGGCCUUAAUUCUAUAUUGAUGUGACUUCUAGCUUCCAUGAAACUUAAAUACAGACCUUAUGAUGUUUGACAUUGGAUAAGAAAAUUCUCCACCUGGAUAAGCUGUUUCUGGAAAGCACUGGUGCAGCCUCUGUCAGAAGUCUUGCUCUGAUGGUCCACUGUACAGAUAAGGAGGCCACAAUGUGGAGAGAUUGAGUAAUAACCAGUAUUACCAGGAUCUUAAGUGGUAAAGCUAGCACUGACCAGGUGAGUAAAAUAAAGUGAAACAAAUAUGUUUUUCA
rnacentral:lncRNA from 12 species